GAGAAGUCCGGUGAGAGUCCGGCGCUGACCCGCAACGGUGUGCGCGCGGACCCGGAGGUCCGCGCGUGAGCCCGAUC
rnacentral:ncRNA from 18 species